AUUUCCCUCUUUCUUCAUGCUUUACACAUGCAAGUCGAACGGCAGCGCGGGCUUCGGCCUGGCGGCGAGUGGCGAACGGGUGAGUAAUGCAUCGGAACGUGCCCAGUAGUGGGGGAUAGCCCGGCGAAAGCCGGAUUAAUACCGCAUACGACCUGAGGGUGAAAGCGGGGGACCGAAAGGCCUCGCGCUAUUGGAGCGGCCGAUGUCGGAUUAGCUAGUUGGUGGGGUAAAGGCUUACCAAGGCGACGAUCCGUAGCUGGUCUGAGAGGACGACCAGCCACACUGGGACGGAGACACGGCCCAGACUCCUACGGGAGGCAGCAGUGGGGAAUUUUGGACAAUGGGGGCAACCCUGAUCCAGCCAUGCCGCGUGCGGGAAGAAGGCCUUCGGGUUGUAAACCGCUUUUGUUCGGGAAGAAAUCCUCUGGGCUAAUACCCCGGGGGGAUGACGGUACCGGAAGAAUAAGCACCGGCUAACUACGUG
rnacentral:rRNA from 1 species